rnacentral:misc_RNA from 1 species
GUGAGUCAUCGAAUCUUUGAACGCACAUUGCGCCCACCGGUAUUCCGGUGGGCAUGCCUGUCCGAGCGUCAUUAAGACCACACUUGGGCUUCUGUCCAGCGUUGGGGAUCCGCCCAGGCGGUCCCUUAAAUUCACCGGCGGAGUCGCGGUGGCCUCUAAGCGUAGUACUUGCUCUCGCUUCUGACGGCGCCGCGCCCCCUGCCGUAAAACCCCCAAUUUUUCUGGUUGACCUCGGAUCAGGUAGGGAUACCCGCUGAACUUAAGCAUAUCAAUAAGCGGAGGA